rnacentral:rRNA from 1 species
CGAGUCCGAGUCUCCACGGAGACGAAGUGGCGGUCAUCCAGCUUCCUAGAAAAGCUCUAACCACGUUAAUCUUUAGUUGCCUGUACCCGAAACCGACACAGGUAGGGGGGUAGAGAAUACCAAGGGGCGCGAGAUAGCUCUCUCUAAGGAACUCGGCAAAAUGACCCCGUAACUUCGGGAGAAGGGGUACCACUGAGAAGUGGUCGCAGUGAAGAGGCCCAGGCGACUGUUUACCAAAAACACAGGUCUCCGCCAAGUCGCAAGACGAAGUAUGGGGGCUGACGCCUGCCCAGUGCCGGAAGGUUAAGGAAGUGGGUUAGGGAUUCGUCCCGAAGCUGACGACUGAAGCCCCGGUGAACGGCGGCCGUAACUAUAACGGUCCUAAGGUAGCGAAAUUCCUUGUCGGGUAAGUUCCGACCCGCACGAAAGGCGUAACGAUCUGGGCGCUGUCUCGGAGAGAGGCUCGGCGAAAUAGGAUUGUCUGUGAAGAUACGGACUACCUGCACCUGGACAGAAAGACCCUAUGAAGCUUUACUGUAGCUUGGAAUUGGGUUCGGGCUUGGUUUGCGCAGGAUAGGUGGGAGGCGAAGAAGAUUUGCUUGUGGGUGAAUCUGAGCCAACGGUGAGAUACCACUCUAACCAGGCUAGAAUUCUAACUUCAACCCGUCAACCGGGGGAAGGACAGUUUCAGGUGGGCAGUUUGACUGGGGCGGUCGCCUCCUAAAAGAUAACGGAGGCGCACAAAGGUUCCCUCAGGCUGGUUGGAAAUCAGCCAACGAGUGCAAAGGCAGAAGGGAGCUUGACUGCGAGACCUACAAGUCAAGCAGGAUGGAAACACGGUCUUAGUGAUCCGACGGCACCGAGUGGAAGGGCCGUCGCUCAACGGAUAAAAGUUACUCUAGGAUAACAGGCUGAUCUCCCCCAAGAGUUCACAUCGACGGGGAGGUUUGGCACCUCGAUGUCGGCUCAUCGCAACCUGGGGCGGAAGUACGUCCCAAGGGUUGGGCUGUUCGCCCACUAAAGCGGUACGUGAGCUGGGUUCAGAACGUCGUGAGACAGUUCGGUCCAUAUCCGGUGUAGGCGCAAGAACAUUGAGAGGAGUCUUCCUUAGUACGAGAGGACCGGGAAGAACGCACCGCUGGUGUACCUGUUAUCGUGCCAACGGUAAACGCAGGGUAGCCAAGUGCGGAGUGGAUAACCGCUGAAAGCAUCUAAGUGGGAAGCCCACCUCAAGAUGAGUGUUCUCAUGGAGUAAUCCAGUAAGGUCACGGGAAGACGACCCGUUGAUAGGCGGUAGGUGGAAGUUCAGCAAUGGAUGAAGCCGAGCCGUACUAACAGACCGAGGGC